CGGGAGUACAUCAGCGGCGAACGGGUGAGUAACACGUAGGUGACUUGCCCCGAAGAUGGGGAUAACCUCUGGAAACGGGGGCUAAUACCCAAUGUGCUCGGUGAUUCGGUUGAUCGAGUAAAGCUCCGGCGCUUCGGGAGAGGCCUGCGGCCCAUCAGCUAGUUGGUAGGGUAACGGCCUACCAAGGCAGAGACGGGUAGGGGGCGUGAGAGCGCGGACCCCCACACUGGCACUGCGACACGGGCCAGACUCCUACGGGAGGCAGCAGUAAGGAAUAUUGCGCAAUGGACGAAAGUCAGACGCAGCGACGCCGCGUGGGCGAUGAAGGCCUUCGGGUUGUAAAGCCCUUUUAUGGGGGAAGAGAAAAAGGACGGUACCCCAUGAAUAAGUCCCGGCUGACUACGUGCCAGCAGCCGCGGUAAAACGUAGGGGACAAGCGUUAUCCGGAUUCACUGGGCGUAAAGAGCGUUGAGGCGGUUCCGUAAGUUGGGCGUGAAAGCUCCGGGCUUAACCCGGAGAUGUCGUUCAAUACUGCGGGGCUUGAGGACAGCAGAGGAAGGUGGAAUUCCCGGUGUAGUGGUGAAAUGCGUAGAUAUCGGGAGGAACACCCGUGGCGAAGGCGGCCUUCUGGGCUGUUCCUGACGCUGAAGGCGAAAGCUAGGGGAGCGAACGGGAUUAGAUACCCCGGUAGUCCUAGCUGUAAACGAUGGAUGCUGGGUGUGGGGGGUGUAAAUUCCCUCUGUGCCGAAGCAAACGCGUUAAGCAUCCCGCAUGGGGACUACGGCCGCAAGGCUAAAACUCAAACGAAUUGGCGGGGGCCCGCACAAGCAGCGGAGCGUGUGGUUUAAUUCGAUGCUACACGAAGAACCUUACCUGGGUUUGACAUGCACGUGGUAGGGAACCGAAAGGGGACCGACCUUCGGGAGCGUGCACAGGUGCUGCAUGGCUGUCGUCAGCUCGUGCCGUGAGGUGUCGGGUUAAGUCCCGUAACGAGCGCAACCAUUGCCAUUAGUUACAAGUGUCUAAGGGGACUGCCCGGGACAACUGGGAGGAAGGUGGGGAUGACGUCAAGUCAGCAU
rnacentral:rRNA from 1 species